UUAGGUUCAGCGGGUAUUCCUACCUGAUCCGAGGUCAAACUUUCAGAAGUGGGGGGUUUAACGGCGUGGCCGCGCUGCGAUCCAGUGCGAGUGUUGCUACUACGCAGAGGAAGCUACAGCGAGACCGCCACUAGAUUUAGGGGCCGGCGCGCCGGAGGGCGGCCGAUCCCCAACACCAAGCCCGGGGGCUUGAGGGUUGA
rnacentral:misc_RNA from 1 species